CAAGAUGUCGCUUUAUUACAGUUAUCCAUAUACAUUUAUACUUGUCCCUACCUAGUGUGUCUCAUACUGAUUGGUCUAUCUUUUACAUUAGGUACACACUGAUUGGCUAGCAUAAGAUAAACUAUUAGUCAAACAUUUGCUUCCCCUAGCAACAUCCUUUCUUACACAAAGAGUUAGUUCCUCUUUUUCAAGGUUGGCUACUCCCUUCUUUCUCAACCUUUCCAAGCCGUGAUUGAUGAAUAAACACUGGGCCUGUAUUUUUCUGUUCUUUCUCAGCAAAGCUUUUAUCCUUAUUUUAUUUCUUCCAAGGUUUACGACCGACAAGUUCCAACACGUCUCCUUCUAUCAGCUGAACAGUACUGGGAGUUCUGCUGAGAGUAUCCAAAUCCUGUUCUACAUCUCCCCCUUCCUGUUGCACAAAGAGAAUUUUUUUCAUGGAAUGUUCUAUCAAUCUCUGUAUACAUUGCAACAAACAGGGUAAAAGGAUUAACAGGAGAACAAAGAUGGUCAAGGCGUAAACAAUUGUCUUUACCAAACUCUUUAACCAUCCUGACAGCCCCCAUCCCCCAAGGAGUUUAUCUAACCAAUCCCAACUAUCGUCUUGUCGGAGUUUAAAGACUCCUUUUUUAAGCUGUUGAAUACUGGCAUGGAUUGAUUCUGAGUGGUCGGAGAGAUUCAUACAACACAUGCCUUCAAAAUCUUCACAGCCAUUGCCUUGCGCUAGAAGCAAAAAGUCUAUAGCAGCUCUAUUUUGUAAUGUAGCAUGGCGAACACUAUCUACAUCUAAUGAAAGACCAGAUAAUGCAUUGCUAGUAGCAUUAGUCUGUUUAGCAAGCCAGCAGCCAAGUUUAUCUAGAGUUGUUAAUGCUUUCCCAGCGGCAGCUCCAGGUACCAGAAGAGAGGCAACAAAGCGUUGACUAAAAGACCAAAACUACACGCUAUCAUUGCAAUUGGGGGUAUAUGCAUGAAUGUCAUGCUUUGUCCUAAGGUACAAGCGAUUUCUGCAAUUGAUAUUUCUUUACACCGAUUCAUGUAGUUCUUCCUUGCUUGCGGUAUUCAAUUCAUGUAGUCCUGGCCCUCCUCAGGAGAUUCACCGAUUUGUUGCUCAAAAGGAUGGUCCGGAGGAUGAUCGGAGUCCUCACCAGAUGGUUGUGGUAGGGAUUCACGGAAAGGGCGUACGUUCUUUGCCGGAAUCCACCUGGGGCCUUUUUCUCUCACCUCUCUACUCCGGAGGGAUUUCAGGCCAGCCGGCUCCUGCUUCCUUUCAGCAGCUCAUUCAACGUUCUGUGGGACUCGCAGCAAGCCGCUCAGCUAGGCGGUUCGUCGACCGAUCACGUCGGGGUCACCAAUUUGCCGCGAUUGAGAGACGGGACACAGCUCGAUGCAAGCAAGAUGUC
ensembl:lncRNA